rnacentral:rRNA from 1 species
CUACGGGUCGCAGCAGUGGGGAAUAUUGCACAAUGGAGGGAACUCUGAUGCAGCGAUGCCGCGUGAGGGAAGAAGGUUUUCGGAUUGUAAACCUCUGUCUUCAGGGACGAUAAUGACGGUACCUGAGGAGGAAGCUCCGGCUAACUACGUGCCAGCAGCCGCAGUAAUACGUAGGGAGCGAGCGUUGUCCGGAAUUACUGGGUGUAAAGGGAGCGUAGGCGGGACUGCAAGUCAGAUGUGAAAACUAUGGGCUUAACCCAUAGACUGCAUUUGAAACUGUGGUUCUUGAGUGAAGUAGAGGUUGGCGGAAUUCCUAGUGUAGCGGUGAAAUGCGUAGAUAUUAGGAGGAACAUCAGUGGCGAAGGCGGCCAACUGGGCUUUUACUGACGCUAAGGCUCGAAAGCGUGGGGAGCAAACAGGAUUAGAUACCCCGGUAGUC